CUACGGGGGGCAGCAGUGGGGAAUAUUGGGCAAUGGGCGCAAGCCUGACCCAGCAACGCCGCGUGAGGGAAGAAGGUUUUCGGAUUGUAAACCUCUGUCCUUGGGGACGAAGAAGUGACGGUACCCAAGGAGGAAGCUCCGGCUAACUACGUGCCAGCAGCCGCGGUAAUACGUAGGGAGCAAGCGUUGUCCGGAAUUACUGGGCGUAAAGGGUGCGUAGGCGGCAUAUCAAGUCAGGUGUGAAAUACUCGGGCUCAACCCGGGGGCUGCAUUUGAAACUGAUAUGCUUGAGUGUGAGAGAGGAAAGUGGAAUUCCUAGUGUAGCGGUGGAAUGCGUAGAUAUUAGGAGGAACACCAGUGGCGAAGGCGACUUUCUGGCUCAUAACUGACGCUGAGGCACGAAAGCGUGGGGAGCAAACAGGAUUAGAUACCCGAGUAGUC
rnacentral:rRNA from 1 species